UGUGCUCUUUCGAUCGUUAAUUAACACUCAUCGUCUCAUAUGCUGACAGUUUCUUUGGUUUUCUGGGGUUUUUUUGGUGAGAAGACUUGAUUUCUAC